CUCCAGCACUCAGGAGAGAUGGCCCCACCCCUCACCACAGGUAUGGGAGAGCUGGACCCAAUGACAUAGGCCUAGGAGAGCUGGCUCUGCCCCUCACCAGAGGGGGAGGUUCCAGUAGCCUGGACCAACCAGCUGAGCUACUACCCAGAAACCACAUCCUGGUCCUUGGGUUGGCCCACCCUAACACCUACCCCAUUCAUAACCUGCUGGAGCUCAUGAAGAGACUGGUCCUGAAGAAUGUGCAGGAUAUCUGAGAGGAGUUUUAGUGAAUGUCCAGUGAUGAUGGUGUGCCAGAGGCUUUGAACCACCAGACCAGCGACUCAUUGCAAUGAACAUUUUCUGAGUGGGGCUGAGUAGAGGACAAAAGGGUAUACUGAGUGACACACUGCAGCUCCUGAUGCCGCUAGGAUGAAUGAAGAAGUGUUGGAAAGAUGGAGGAACAAGAGGUGAAAGGAGAAGACAGCUUCAGAUCAUAGUGAUGAAGGUUGAGGUGUGAGAUAAGCAAUCUCAUGACUGAGUCUUCUUCCCUUCAUGGAUUCUCAGCUAUUUCUCAAGCACCACGUCUGACUGCAUGCUGUCAUGCUCUCUGUCAUGAUGAUAAUGGAAUGAACCUCUGGAACUAAGAAGCAUCCUUAAGCCAAGCCUGGUGGUCCAAGACUGCAAUUCUUGCUACUUAGAAGGCUGAGACAGGAGGAUCCCAACUUCAAUUUCUGACGGAUUCUAGGGCUUUGACGGCAAGAGCCCCCCUGGCUGAUGAUCAUCCUGCAUGCUACCACGGAGUCUGUGGCAAGGCUAAAACAUACUGGAAAAAGAGCAUGGAAAGGGCCACUCUCCAGUCACCUCACGGCAGCCAGGAAGCAGAGAGGAUAACAAGAAGGGGUCAGGGUCAAAGGCACAGCCCCAAUGACCCACUUCCUGCAGCCCGACCUCCCACAGUGUCACACUAAUCUCAUAGGUAUUUCUCAAUCCAAUCAAGGUAACAGUCAGGAUGAAUCAUUAUAGCGUGGUCAAGGAGACUGAAAACAGUAUGAAGUAGGGUGAGACCAGCAAGGGAGAGCCACGGGACACAUGGAAGCUGAGCAGAUUACAGGUGUGAGGCUAGGCAAAUGGAAGGGACAGGAAGUGGGAGUUGCAGCUCUAUCACUAACUGUCUGUGUGAUUCUGGAGGGGGUUUGUAUUUCCUGUGUAUAAAAUGAGAAUUUCCCUCCUGAUGACAACUGUACCACAAUAUGCGACUUCAUAUUUUAUAACCUAUCAUCUCUUUGUCCCUCACAAAAACCCAUCUCUCUAGGCCAUGUUAAAUUUGUUAUUUUUAUUUCUAUUUAUUGUUGCUGUUCUUUGAGGCAGAGUUUCUCUGUGUAGCCCUGGAACUCACUUUGUAGACCAGGCUGGCCUCAAACUCACAGAGAUCCGCCUGCCUCUGCCUCCUGAAUGCUGCUGGGAUUAAAGGCGUGAGCCACCACCAUCCAGCAGUGUUUUGUUGCUAUUGUUUUAAUUUUUUUAGAUGUAUUUGUUUAUGUGUGUAAGUCUUUUGCCCAUGUGUAUGUAUGAACACCAUGCUCACCCCUGAUGGCCACGGAGGACAGAAGAAGGUUUAUAACUCCCAGAACUGGUGUUAAGGAUGGUUGUGGGCACCAUGUGGGUACUGAGAACUGAACCAGGGUCCUCUUCUAGAGCAGCCAAGUGCCCUCAACUGCUGAGCCACCAUCUCUUCAGCCCUGGUUUUGCUUUUGUAAAUAUUAUGUUCAUACUUUUUGUACAUAUGAAGUGUAGGUACCUGACUAGUUCAGAAGAAGGCAUUGGUUCCUCUUGAGCUGGAUAUACAGAUGGCUCUGAGUUGCCUGGCAUGGUACUGGUACUGGGAAUGGAACCCUUGUCCUCUGCAAGAGCAGUAAGUUCUCUUAAUCACUGAGUCAUCGCUCCAGCCUAUUUGUUUGUUUUGAGACAGAAUUUCACUUUGCAACCCAGGCAGGUUUUAAAAAGAUGCACUAAUUCCCCUGUCUCAGACUCUGGAGUUCUGGGAUUAUAGGUAUGAACUUCUGUCUUACUCAGUGUCCUAUUGCUGUGAAGAGGUAUCAUGACCAUGGGGCUCACUAGAGUUCAGAAGUUUAGCUCAUUAUCAUCAUAGCAGGGAGCAUGGUGGCACACAGGCACACCUGACGCUGGAGAAGUUGAGAGUUGCACAUCCAGAUCCACAGGCAGCAGGGGAGGAGGGGCUUGGUGUGAGCAUUUGAAACCUCAAAGCUCAGCCCCAGUGAUACUCUUCCUCCAACUAGGUCACACCUUUUAAUCCUUCUCAAGUAGGGCCACUUUCUGCUGACUAAGCAUUCACAUAUAUGAGCCUAUGGGGGUCAUUCUCAUUCGAACCAUCACAACCUCCUUUCCUGACUUUUGUUCUAUCUUAGUUAAGGUUUCUAUUGCUAUGAAGAGACACAAUGGCCAUGGCAGCUCUUAUAAGGAAAACAUUUAGUUGAGGGGGCUGGCUUACAGUUUCAUUAUCACCAUGACAGAGAGCAUGGCAGCAUGCAGGCAGACAUGGUGCUGGAGGAACAGCUAUGAGUCCUAUAUUUUGCAGGAAACAGGAAAUCAACUGAGACACUGAGUGGUAUCCUGAGCAUUAGAAACGUUAAAGCCCACCCCCAUAGUGACACACUUCCUCUAACAAGGCCACACCCACUCCAACAAAGCCACACCGCCUAAUAGUGCCACUCCCUAUGUGAUUAUGGUUGCAAUUACAUUCACAUACCACAUGUUCCUUUUCUUUUCUUUCUUUUUUCCUCAGAGUUAAUUGUUGUUCAUGUUUCAUUUGCUUCUUCUGUUGAUCCCUGGUCAGAUCUUCCUGCCUUUCAUUCUCCAUCCUGGGUCCUUUUACUCCCUUUCCCAACCAUCCUAGAGCUGUUGGCUUUUUCACCUGAAUUCAAAGCUCUUUAGUUCAGUCACAUCCAUGGCCUCCUAUAACUUCCCUUUGCCACCAGCCAGAUAGUUCCUUCCUCCCAUUCCUCUGUGGGUAACUGGGCUUUAUUUUUAUUAUUAUUAUUUAUUUUUUGGUUCUUUCUCUCCUUUUGUGGCUUAUGCUCUUCUGGAGCUCCUCCAUGGAAUGAGCUUCCCAAGGAAGUAUGCAUGGGAGAUAAAUUGUUUAAAUCUUAUAUGUUUGAAGAUGCCUCUAUUCUGCCUCACUCUAGAUUGGCUGUUAGAUUUGGGUACAGACUUCUUAGCUACAAGGCCUCGUGUCAUAGUCUUCCAGCUUCUGGUGUUACUAGGAAGCCUGAUGCACAUCUUACUUCUUAUCCUUGUAUAAGUGUUGGGACCCAGCCCCCACGGGGUCUCUAAGAGUUGUUUUCCAGUAUAACCACAGGUACUUCCUGUUUUCUUAACUUCAUCCCCACUAGCAUCAAUAUCCUGUUGUGAACCCUUUCACCUGGGGUUUUUGUAAGUUUGUUUAUAAGGCUGCUCCACAAUAAAGGUGAGAGACAUUCUCUUAGAAAAAGACCAGGAGUCUUAUUGUUCAUCCAAAUCUCUAGGCUUUCGCCUGAUACUCGGACUUAGUGGCCAAGAGCAGCCACAAGUGGAGGUCCCACUGAGAUUGGGAAAGAAAGGGGACCUUGAGAGAUCACCCUCAGAAGGCUGGAAAGCAAAUAAGGAGUUGUGAGGGUGGAUUGCAAAAGGUACUAGAAAAUAGGUACCUCAACUCCUGAGAGAGUUGGAUUAGCAAAAGGUACUAGAAAAUAGGUACCUCAACUCCAAAGAGAGUUGGAUUGUAAAGGCACUGGAAAAGGGAUGCCUCAACUCCUAAGAGAAUUGGAUUGGAAUAGAGAUCACAGUCAAUCACACAGAGAAAGUUUAAAGAGACAAGAUACUGGUAAGAUUUCAUUUUAACUUUGGAUUAAGUAAUAAUGCCAAGAAAAGUAUUAAAGAAAUACGGGAAAUCCUCCACUGAGGAAUCCCUCCCUCUUGAGCUUUGCAUCAGCAGCCAGAUGACCCAGCAGCCUGUGCCCUUGUCCACUCCAGCCCGCUGUGGGCUCCAAUGAGCUGGCAAUGAUGUGGUGUGCACCAGCUGGCUGGAGAAAUCACCUCCUGAGAAAAAGUUGGGGCACUAUGCUUGGAAGAAGUGCUGGUUUAUUCUGCGGAGUGGUCAGAUAAAUGGUGACCCAGAUGUUCUAGAAUACUAUAAGAAUAAACACUCCAAGAAACCACUGCGAAUCAUCAGCUUAAAACUUCUGUAAGCAUUUGGAUGUAGGCCUGACCUUCAACAAAAAUGAGCUCCAAAAGAGUUUUAUGUUUGAUAUCAAGACCAAUGAGUGCACCUUCUACCUGGUGGCUGAGACAGAGGUCAACAUAAAUAGGUGGGUCCAGAGCAUCUGCCAGAUCUGCAGCUUCAGUCAGACUACAGAGAUCAGACUCGGGGCUGGAGAGAUGGCUCAGAGGUUAAGAGCACUGGCUGCUCUUACAGAGGUCCUGAGUUCAAUUACCAGCAACCACAUGGUGGCUCACAACCAUCCGUUAUGAGAUCUUGUGCCCUCUUCUGGUGUGCAGAUAUACAUGGAAGCAAAAUGUUGUAUACAUAAUAAAUAAAAUCUUUUUAAAAAAGAGAGAGAGAU
rnacentral:lncRNA from 1 species